UCAACAGUAGUCAAUGUUAACCAAAGUUUACAGGCAAGUGACGUCACGAUGACGUAUGAGGCGCCAUAUUGUCAGGAAAGCGUUUUCGCGGGAUAUUUCAAUACUCAAAAUUUUUUGUUUUGGUUUUUCUUGCACUAUAUGUAUUAAAACGCAAAAUAUACAUUUU